rnacentral:rRNA from 1 species
UCGAGAAUCUUCCGCAAUGGACGAAAGUCUGACGGAGCGACGCCGCGUGCGGGAUGAAGGCCUUCGGGUUGUAAACCGCUGUCAGUUGGGAGGAAAUGCAUGAGGGCUAUCCCUCAUGUUUGACCGAUCUUCAGAGGAAGUCCGGGCUAAGUUCGUGCCAGCAGCCGCGGUAACACGAACCGGACGAACGUUAUUCGGAAUCACUGGGCUUAAAGAGUCCGUAGGCGGCUAUGUAGGUGAGGUGUGAAAUCCCCCGGCUUAACCGUGGAAUUGCGCCUCAAACCAUGUGGCUAGAGGGAGAUAGAGGAAAGCGGAACUGAUGGUGGAGCGGUGAAAUGCGUUGAUAUCAUCAGGAACACCGGUGGCGAAGGCGGCUUUCUGGGUCUCUUCUGACGCUGAGGGACGAAAGCUAGGGGAGCGAACGGG